rnacentral:rRNA from 1 species
AUUGAACGCUGGCGGCAUGCUUUACACAUGCAAGUCGGACGGCAGCGCGGGCUUCGGCCUGGCGGCGAGUGGCGAACGGGUGAGUAAUACAUCGGAACGUGCCCAGUAGUGGGGGAUAGCUCGGCGAAAGCCGGAUUAAUACCGCAUACGACCUGAGGGUGAAAGCGGGGGACUUUAGGGCCUCGCGCUAUUGGCGCGGCCGAUGGCAGAUUAGCUAGUUGGUGGGGUAAAGGCCUACCAAGGCGACGAUCUGUAGCUGGUCUGAGAGGACGACCAGCCACACUGGGACUGAGACACGGCCCAGACUCCUACGGGAGGCAGCAGUGGGGAAUUUUGGACAAUGGGCGCAAGCCUGAUCCAGCAAUGCCGCGUGUGUGAUGAAGGCCUUCGGGUUGUAAAGCACUUUUGGCAGGAACGAAAAGUGCCGUGCUAAUACCACGGUACGAUGACGGUACCUGCAGAAUAAGCACCGGCUAACUACGUG